AACAGAUGCAGAAUAAAAAAGAAUGACUCACUGUUUUCUCUCUCUUUUUUUCCACAGAGAACCAGGAAGAAGACAACAGAGUAAGUGAGGAAGACAGGCUGCUUACUAUAGCUCCAGCAAGACAAGAACCUGCUACUCAAACCCUGGUCUUACGUAACCCAUGCGCAGGUAAUGGGCCCUGCUCUCAGCAGUGCUCUGUGGUUAGAGGACUGGCCCAAUGUUCCUGUUUCUCAGGAUUCUCUCUGAUGGCUGACGGACACACCUGUGAAGGUAUAGCAGUUAUGCCCAAAGGAUUAUGACAAGAGAUUUUUCAUGACCUGAACAUCACAGUCUUACCUGAGGAUCUGCUUCCUUCAACUUCACUGAUCCAUGACCAAUUACUCUGCUUCAGCCCUGACUAUAAUAAUAAACAGUGACCUCAGCCCUGGGUUCGACAGCUCUGCUCUCUCA
rnacentral:lncRNA from 1 species